CUCCCUCUGAAACCUGGCCAUAGACAUGGCCAACGUCGGUCAAAGUGUAUCUGUUCUUAUCAGUUUAAUAUCUGAUACGGGUUGUAUUUGGACCUAAGAUAUUACUUAUUUUUGCAAGUUGGCGGAGUGCUUAAAACCUGAUUCACCUCUGCUGCGGGUCGGCCUGGUAUUGCACUAUCUUCAGUACUGGCCCUCAUAUG